GCGUCGUUGGCGGAGUGGUUAACGCGGCAGACUUGAAAUCUGCUUCUCGAAAGGGAGCAUUGGUUCAAACCCAGUACGACGCG
rfam:Capsaspora owczarzaki ATCC 30864 unplaced genomic scaffold supercont2.4, whole genome shotgun sequence.